UACGUAGGGUGCAAGCGUUGUCCGGAAUUAUUGGGCGUAAAGAGCUCGUAGGCGGUUUGUUGCGUCGGCUGUGAAAUCCCGAGGCUCAACCUCGGGUCUGCAGUCGAUACGAGCAAACUAGAGUGUUGCAGGGGAGACUGGAAUUCCUGGUGUAGGCGGUGAAAUGCGUAGAGAUCAGGAGGAACACCCAUGGCGAAGGCAGCUCUCUGGUCGACCUCUGACGCUGGAGACGCGAAAGCGUGGGGAGCGAACGGG
rnacentral:rRNA from 1 species